AUUGAACGCUGGCGGCAUGCCUUACACAUGCAAGUCGAACGGCAGCACGGGAGCAAUCCUGGUGGCGAGUGGCGAACGGGUGAGUAAUAUAUCGGAACGUGCCCAGUCGUGGGGGAUAACGCAGCGAAAGCUGUGCUAAUACCGCAUACGAUCUACGGAUGAAAGCGGGGGAUCGCAAGACCUCGCGCGAUUGGAGCGGCCGAUAUCAGAUUAGCUAGUUGGUGGGGUAAAGGCCCACCAAGGCGACGAUCUGUAGCUGGUCUGAGAGGACGACCAGCCACACUGGAACUGAGACGCGGUCCAGACUCCUACGGGAGGCAGCAGUGGGGAAUUUUGGACAAUGGGCGCAAGCCUGAUCCAGCAAUGCCGCGUGCAGGAUGAAGGCCUUCGGGUUGUAAACUGCUUUUGUACGGAACGAAACGGCCCUUUCUAAUACAGGGGGCUAAUGACGGUACCGUAAGGAUAAGCACCGGCUAACUACGUGCCAGCCGCCGCAGUAA
rnacentral:rRNA from 1 species